rnacentral:rRNA from 1 species
UUUAGAGUUUGAUCCAUGGCUCAGAGCGAACGCUGGCGGCGUACCUAACACAUGCAAGUCGAGCGGGGAUCGACGGUGUAGCAAUACAUCAGCGGUCCUAGUGGCGCACGGGUGAGUAACACGUGGGUGACCUGCCCUCGAGUUCGGGAUACCCCCUCGAAAGGGGGGCUAAUACCGGAUACGUUCCCCGGUUGAAAGGCCGGGGAGGAAAGGCGGCGCAAGCUGCCACUCGUGGAGGGGCUCGCGGCCUAUCAGCUAGUUGGCGGGGUAAUGGCCCACCAAGGCGAUGACGGGUAGCUGGUCUGAGAGGACGACCAGCCACACGGGGACUGAGACACGGCCCCGACUCCUACGGGAGGCAGCAGUGGGGGAUUUUCCGCAAUGGGCGAAAGCCUGACGGAGUGACGCCGCGUGGGGGACGAAGGCCUUCGGGUCGUAAACCCCUGUCAGUGGGAAAGAGGGGUGUCGAACGCGAAUACCGUCGG